UUGCUUUUGUCUCUCUGGAGAAACUAAAUAUAGGUUUUGAUGCUGAGAACCAGGCCUUGCUUUGACAAACAUCUAAAGACGCAGGUGCGGUUUUGGAGCUGGACAGGUAGUCGUAGAACCUAGAAAUUCUGAGCAGGUCCCCGGAAAUACUGAAAAGAAGGCUGGUUGGUGACACUGCACACAGAAAUGAGGAGGACUUCAAACUAGAGGAAAGGCUGGCCUGGUUACCAGUAGCAAGUAACUUGGUUACUUAGUAGCAAGUAUCCUGGUUACCAGUAGCAAGUAACCUGGUUACUCAGUAGCAGCUAGCCCAAUUGAAUUAUGGUCUACCGCUUUGUGCCAGGCACAGCUUGAGAACAAUAAAACUGGGUCUUUAGCCAAGGAGAUUUGCAAGCAAAAUACGUGGGUGUGGCUUGGGUCCUCCUCCGCUCACAGGAAAACAGGAGGAAAGAGCGGGGAGCUGCAUAAGGAACCUCUGUGCAAUAAGGAUGAACUUGGAGCUUCAGGAAAUUGUGAAACUGUCUAGAUCAAAAAAAGCGAGAAAGCCUGCGCUGCAGAGAGCGUCAAGCAGCGGCCCAACAGCCGCCUGACAGAGGUCCUGCGCGCGCGGCUUGGAUGGAGUCAGCACCCAGCAGGAGCCAGCGAUGGAGGAAAGCAGCAGCGAGGGGCCGUGAAACAAUGCGGGGUGCGGACUGCAGGAAGUGAGGAGGCGUGGAGCCGCUUGGAUCCCACAGGGAGGCCACCGUGCUCACCGGCUGGGAGACUGCCUUCUCCCAGAACGCAGGUUCCAGCCCGAGAGCACUCGGUCUCAGGAUGGAGACUUCUGUGGCUCUUCAGAGUGACCACCUGCUGCAGUCCGUGUUUCUGUUCCUCCAGAAUUGCUGUUGAGCUCUCAUCCCCGAAGUGCUGGUAUUAAGCAGCGGGACAUCUGGAAGGUGACAAGGUCAUGAGGACAGAACCCUCCUGCCUGGGACCAGGGCCCUGAAAAGGCCCAAGGAAGCAGCUCAUCCUUCUACAGAGCCAUCUCUGAAGGGGACGGAACUGCUCCAGGGCGUGACCGUGCUUGUGCCGUGGCCUUGGGCCUCCCAACCUCUGCAACGGCGAGCAAUCAAUUUCUGUUAUCGGAAAGUAUUUUUCGGCAGCAAAUACCCACUCUAAGGUAUUUCGUGAUAGCAGCCCAAACAAGCUAGACAGGAAACGGUACCCAGAGGUGGUGCCACUACAGGAAAUGCCUAGGAAUGUGGAGGUGACUCUGAGCUGGGUGGUGGCCGAGGCUGGAGGAGUUCCUAGGUGCCGUGCUGUGACCGGCGCCCUCAGUGUGACGCUGGCGAAGGCUCCCACCAGAGCUGCACAGGACUUCAGUCUCCAGGAGGCCACCCGCGGGGUCAUGAGCAGAGGCUGGCAGAAACAUGGAUGCUACGGUGUCCCAUAGGGCUCAGUCUUGGGAGGGCUCACGUGAGAACAAGGAGGCGGUAGGUGGUGUCUCAGGUAUGACUUCUAGGGGAGCAGCGGCGCUAACUGAAGAGGAACACUCAUCAGCGGUAAGAUGCAAGGGGCAUGGGAGCUCGGACAGGAAGAUUUCACGUUGUGGCACAGGUACCUCCAGUCGGGCACCAUUAGCAGCGCUUUGUUCCUGCAAAGAAAAUAGCUACAGCUGCGAUCGCUAGGUGGCCAGUCAGGAGUGCAGACAGGCUGCACCUGAUGGUUCAAGCUCCGACCAGGCGGGUUGCUUCCUAUUUUGAGAAAUAUCCCUGAAUAGGGGUAAAAUAUAUAAGUAUUGAUGGAAUUUACGGUUUUUAUUGAGUCAACUGUAGGAGCACAAGAAGCAGGAGAGAGCACGGAAGAGACCCAAGAAUCACCCAGCCAAGCCUGACCUAAGUGGCAAACUCAGAAAGGUGUGAGUGUGAUCAGCGGGCGUUGUUUCCAAUGCCUGGCUUUUGGGUUGCUUGUUAUACAGCCAUAGCUCACUGAUACAAAAAGCCUCUGAAUUUCAAUUUCUAGCAUUGCCCUUCUAAGAAAGAGACUUUUCUCUUCACCCCUUGUGUGAUUCUCACAGUAACUCUAGUAAGAGAUUGUGAGGCCUGCUCUACACGUGAGGAAAGGGACAACACAGAGGUCAAGUGAAUUCUUCCAGUUAAAGAAAAUCUAAAUUAGUGACAAGAUUGGAAUUAAAGCCGGUCACAUCUGAUUCUAAAUCACUGAGGUUAACACCUGUAGUCACAAGUGGUGGUUUUUAACUUACUGACCUGUCUUUAAUUUUCAGUUAGGUUUCUAAGUGUGUUCAAAUUAUUCCUUAAGGAUACUUCUUCUUUAUUAAAACUUAACCUUUCUCUUAAAAAUCAAAAUGAACUGAGUCACAACAAAUACCCCACAUCAGAGAAGUUCCUGUCACCAAGUCACUCCGCAGGUGAGUGGGUCUUAUCUGCGUCAGGACAGAAGCAGUGCCAUCUCUGCCGCGGUCCUCCUCGGCUGCCCGAAGCGACGGAGAAUAAACCCUGAAUCUCCGUGCUCCUUUUCUUGGCAAAAGAUUGAUGUGCUGAGUGCAGCAAGUGGAAUCUAGGGAAAGAUUUGCUUACAUUUUCUCUUCGGAGUUCCCUCACGAUAAAGGUGCUCCCAGGGACAAAGCAGCAUCCUGGCUUCCCCGUGCGUGUGGUUAACUCUUGGAUCUGGAGCUCUGCGCUCAGACAAUUGUGGCUGGGAGACGAGACCUACCUGAGUCACUGUCCAUCCUGCUGUCGUUUAGGGGAGACUGAGGCCAGGCGCGUGCCCCGGGCAGUAAGAUGCAGCAAGCAAGACUGAGUGACGUUACCCAUCCCCCCAGCUAGUAGAGGGACAGGCAGAGGCAGGGUCUAAUCCGGGCUCCAGCAUUCCCACCGGCGCCACCUUCUCCCCGACCCUCCUCACCACGUGGAUGUGGCGCUUCUCCUCCUGCCACGUGUGCAGCUUCCAGCACGGCCCUGUGCACGGCUGCCCUCUGCUUUGGGUGAUUUCUUCUGGCCAGGCCUGUGUGACUGGCUGCUUUCUGAUCAUUUUAUCGUAGGGGGUGCUUUCCUGAUGGUACCCACUGUCCCUCUACCCCUUUCCACAAUGCUACCUUACGGAAUUUAAACAUUUUAUUAUUUUUUUAAUUGAGGUAAAAAAUAUAUACUAUUAAAUUAACCAAUGUAAAGCAAAUCAAGCAUUUAGUGCCUUGGUAAUAUUGUGUACAUGCCACCUCUCUCUUCUUUCAAAACAUUUCCAACAUCUCAAAAGGAAAUACCGUACCAACUCAGCACUUGUUCCCGAUUCUGCGUUCUGUCCCGAUGGAUUUACCUUUCCUGAAUGCCCUGUGUAAAUGGAACCGUACAAUAUGUGACCUUCUUUGUCCAGUUUAUUUCACUUCAAAACUUUGUCGAGAUUUAGCCACAUUACAGCACGUAGUGGCGUUUCAUUCCUUUAACGGAGAAACACUCCACAAUUUGAUUAUUAUUUGUUAUUUGUUAUUCUUAUUUGUUGGCAGAAUCUGGGCUGUUUCAAACUCAUUUGAAGAGUAACUUACCCGAAACACUGGACUCCUUGACUCGUCUAUCAGAUGUCUCUCUUUUUUCUGCCUUUUUGUUGGUAUAUUUUUGUCAUGCAUCAUAAUCCACUCUUCGUGGGAACUGUAUCAUACUGCAUCUGGAUCUCUCUCAGUUCUUCCCCUCCCCUCCCUUCCCACGUGCCUCUCUACACUGAUUCGCAAGUGUUGUGAGUCCGGACCUGACUGUCACUCUGUCUCUGAUGACUCUGCAUGCAGAAAGUGCUGAGUCAGGCACUGAUAAGCAACAACGCCGGAACACACCUCCACCCCGAGGAGGCGGGGCCGUCACUGCCCACAGAUUUCCUCCAAAGCGCGCUGCUCGGGCUCUACUUUUCCACGCUGCUACCCUCUUCAGGAACACUUUCUACAUAGAACCUCGACCUUCAUUGCCCGAGGGUGGACCAAAGCUAGUUUUCAGACAGCGUGCAAGACUCCCCAAGCCUUUCGGAGCACAAAAUCAAUCUUGGAUGAGUAUGAACAAUGCUACUCUCCCUGAGUGUUGCUUUGGUAGGUUUGGGGUGGGUCUUCUACAUAAAAUGCUCACUACCAUGCUGCCAACCACGAAACAGGGCAGGGUACCCUGGCAGUCUGCACUCAUGGGGACCAAGCUCCAGCGUGGACUCAGGUGGUGAAGAGCUUUGCAGAAUCGUACACCGGUCAUUCAGCAGGGCUGGGAGUGGAAGGGAGGUCUAACUCAAAGGAGAUAAAGCGGCAGAUAUACGUAAGAGGAACAAGUCUGAAGACCUAAUGCACGGCGUGAGGCCCACAGUUACCAGCAUUGUGCUGCAGUCGGGAAUUUUGCCACGUGGUCCGAUGCAAAUUGUUCCAGCCCUGAGUGCAGGACAGGUACUGCGCCACAGGGUGACUAUAUUAGUCUGUCACUGCGGUAGGAAUUACAACAUGUGUGUCUCAUGAUAUCAUUUUAUAUACCUUAAAAAUAAGUACACUAUGAAAUUUGUUUAAGAAAUAAAAAUUAAUAAAACAUCAAUACCUUGGCCUAACUCCUACACUGCAGGGAAUAAGCAUUAGGAUUUAAAAAGAAAUCUUCAGGCGAUUCUGAGGGACAGCCACUGUCCACCACCACUGGCUUAGAGCAUUGCUCUCAAUUUGUUUGCUAGAAUUAAACCACUUGUGGAGAUUUUUGAUGCUUAUAUUAAA